GACGUAGGGAGCGAGCGUUGUCCGGAUUCAUUGGGCGUAAAGCGCGCGUAGGCGGCCUCGCAAGUCGGUUGUGAAAUCCCGGGGCUCAACCCCGGGACUGCGUCCGAUACUGCGAGGCUGGAGGUAGGUAGGGGAGACUGGAAUUCCUGGUGUAGCGGUGAAAUGCGCAGAUAUCAGGAGGAACACCGAUGGCGAAGGCAGGUCUCUGGGCAUUAACUGACGCUGAGGAGCGAAAGCAUGGGGAGCGAACAGG
rnacentral:rRNA from 1 species